UAAAACCGUUCAGGGGUAAACCUGUAUAAACCCAUUUUAUCAAAUGGGGAGAUUCAUCGUCAGCCGCUCAGAGCUUCCGUGUGGUUCGCGAUGACCGGGACUUCGGUCCCGUGUCACGCAAUCGCUGCGGUCAUGUCCGGAGUGGUCGGCGUGCACUUCUCCCCUAGUAGGACGUCGCGAUUCGUUGGGUGUCGGUUUACGGACCGGAAGGUCGCCUGACAAGUUACGUUCACGCGUGCACUAGUCAGACCUCUGGCUUCCCAACCGGCUGCCCGGCGAUAUAAAACGAUAAUCAAUGGUAUUGGGCCGCAUCGAAUGCGUUCAGGCUCGUCGGCAGGUACGCCUCGCUCGGAUUUACGGACCUAGCGCCGUUGCCGGGUGCUUGGCGUGCCGUUCGCCGACGAUGUCCUCGGACUGGCUCUUUAUAUUCUUUAUGAAUAUACCGAUCGGCGACGCUACUGCUUUGGGUACUUUCAGGACCCGUCUUGAAACACGGACCAAGGAGUCUAACAUGUGCGCGAGUCAUUGAGUCAAUUAAAGCUUAAAGGCGUAAUGAAAGUAAAGGUCUUUUGGAGCCUCGACCGAGGGGGGGUGGCUGACGUUACGAUGUUAGCUAACACUCCUGGGGUAGCUCAAU
rnacentral:rRNA from 1 species